AACCUCCGCAAUGUGAGAAAUCGCGACGGGGGGAUCCCAAGUGCCAUUCUUAACGGGAUGGCUUUUCAUUAGUGUAAAGAGCUUUUGGAAUAAGAGCUGGGCAAGACCGGUGCCAGCCGCCGCGGUAACACCGGCAGCUCUAGUGGUAGCAGUUUUUAUUGGGCCUAAAGCGUCCGUAGCCGGUUUAAUAAGUCUCUGGUGAAAUCCUGUAGCUUAACUGUGGGAAUUGCUGGAGAUACUAUUAGACUUGAGAUCGGGAGAGGUUAGAGGUACUCCCAGGGUAGAGGUGAAGUUCUGUAAUCCUGGGAGGACCGCCUGUUGCGAAGGCUUCUAACUGGAACGAUUCUGACGGUGAGGGACGAAAGUUAGGGGCGCGAACCGGAUUAGAUACCCGGGUAGUCCUAACUGUAAACGAUGCGGACUUGGUGUUGGGGUGGCUUUGAGCUGCUCCAGUGCCGAAGGGAAGCUGUUAAGUCCGCCGCCUGGGAGUACGGUCGCAAGACUGAAACUUAAAGGAAUU
rnacentral:rRNA from 1 species